rnacentral:rRNA from 1 species
UACGGAGGGGGCGAGCGUUAUUCGGAAUUAUUGGGCGUAAAGGGUGCGUAGGCGGGUUGUUAAGUCAGUGGUGAAAGAUUCGAGCUCAACUCGGAAACUGCCAUUGAUACUGAUGAUCUUGAAUACAGUUGAGGUAGGCGGAAUGUGUCAUGUAGCGGUGAAAUGCUUAGAUAUGACACAGAACACCGAUUGCGAAGGCAGCUUGCUAAACUGUGAUUGACGCUGAGGCACGAAAGCGUGGGGAUCAGACAGG